UACGUAGGGGGCUAGCGUUGUCCGGAAUCAUUGGGCGUAAAGAGCGUGUAGGCGGUCCGGUAAGUCCGUUGUGAAAGUCAGGGGCUCAACCCUUGAAUGCCGGCGGAUACUGUCGGGCUAGAGUCCGGAAGAGGCAAGUGGAAUUCCCGGUGUAGCGGUGAAAUGCGCAGAUAUCAGGAGGAACACCGGUGGCGAAGGCGGGUCUCUGGGCCGAUAUUGACGCUGAGGAGCGAAAGCGUGGGGAGCGAACAGG
rnacentral:rRNA from 1 species